rnacentral:rRNA from 1 species
GACGUAGGGAGCGAGCGUUGUCCGGAUUCAUUGGGCGUAAAGCGCGCGUAGGCGGCCUCGCAAGUCGGUUGUGAAAUCCCGGGGCUCAACCCCGGGACUGCGUCCGAUACUGCGAGGCUGGAGGUAGGUAGGGGAGAUCGGAAUUCCUGGUGUAGCGGUGAAAUGCGCAGAUAUCAGGAGGAACACCGGUGGCGAAUGCGGGUCUCUGGGCCGAUACUGACGCUGAGGAGCGAAAGCGUGGGGAGCGAACAGG